UUUUUUGAUAAAAUCUGGAACUCCUCUGAGGAAAGCCGUCUUCACACACAGCUGAGAAGGAUUAAAAGAUGCUCAAGCAACCAAGUUGGUUUCUUCCCCAGCCGUCCUGCAAAUCGGAAGGGGGAGAGGCAACAAGAUUUUAGAGCACUCAAAACCAAAACCAAAGAAACAAAAAUCAAAGACAGCUGAGUUUUCCUUAUAAAACUAGAGUUGGCGGAUGCCUGAAUCACAAAAUGUGGCUUUCACCUGGUCCUCAAAAAGCUUUCCCAGCUCCUAAGCCAGCAGUCGUCUGAAGGACAGGCAGGAGGAAGACGCUUAUGAAACUCCACCAGGGAUCCUGCACAAUUAUUUCAAAUAAGAGAAGACUCAGUGACCGUGUGCCCCUGAGAUAUACAGGACAAGAGCGUGAGUGGGCAAGGAACCCUAUGCUGCCCAUAUGCACCAAGACACAAAAUGUGGAAAAAAAUGUAGUUCUUCCUGAUGAUCUCAGAAGGGUAGAGGGUGUGACCAGGAGCUAUGAGAGCUGGCAAGGACAGGAGAGAUGGAGGAAUGGAGAAAAGAGUGUGUUGAGUGGUUACACAUGUGGAU